rnacentral:rRNA from 1 species
CCUACGGGAGGCAGCAGUGGGGAAUAUUGGGCAAUGGGCGCAAGCCUGACGCAGCAACGCCGCGUGAAGGAAGAAGGCUUUCGGGUUGUAAACUUCUUUUGUCAGGGACGAAGGAAGUGACGGUUCCUUACGAAUAAGCCACGGCCAACUACGUGCCAGCAGCCGCGGUAAUACGUAGGUGGCAAGCGUUAACCGGAAUUAUGGGGUGUAAAGGGCGUGUAGGCGGGACGGCGAGUCAGAUGUGAAAACUAUGGGCUCAACCCAUAGCCUGCAUUUGAAACUGUCUGUCUUGAGUGCGGGAGAGGCAAUCGGAAUUCCGGGUGUAGCGGUGGAAUGCGUAGAUAUACGGAAGAACACCAGUGGCGAAGGCGGAUUGCUGGACCGUUACUGACGCUGAGGCGCGAAAGCGUGGGGAGCAAACAGGAUUAGAUACCCUUGUAGUC